UAUGUAUUUAGACCUAGGUGUAUGUGUGUGUGUAGUCAUAGCAGUGAGUAACAAAAUGUUAUAGUGUGCUGUCACCAGCAGUGUUGUUUCAUAUGUUAUGGUGCGCUGUCACCGAUGUUAUGUUUUUGUUGUGGUGCGCGUAGGCUAUUUCUGAUUUUGUCAGUCAUCUCAUGUCUCUAUGAUCCUGUCCUGUCCCAUUCAUUGUAGCCUACUUGUGGACAUUGCGUCAUCACAUGCUGUAGUAAAGGGCCCGCCUUGAUAAUCCUGCUUAGGGGCCCGGUGUUGGCUCGUUACGCUACUGUAACAGCAUAAAAAACUCAAAGACAAACAACAUCGGGGGAUACACAAUAAUUUCAAGGAGUGAAAAAAAGUAAUAAUACAUACAUACAAUUUUAGAGGACAAUAAAUUUAGACAUGUUUGUGGACAUCAGCCAAUUUCUGACAUCAUUCCAAAACUGGUUUGAAACUGGACAGGUAAAAAACAAAUGAUCCAAAGAUUCAUCAGAAAAAUCACAAAAAAACACAUCCCGCCUUGUCAAAUUUAAAACGCUUAUGAAGAAAAAUAGAGACUGGGUAAAUCUUGUGACAAAUUUUAAAGUGUGUUUCUUUGACCUUAGGUGGAAUUGGGCAUUUAACAUACUUAGAAAAGACUUUCUCAACAGAUCCACAAACUCUAGAGAUAGACAGUUCCUUUUAUAGUCGUGAUACAAUUUGGAUUUAAAAACAUCUGUGGCAGCCUUAUUAUUAAAUUCUUUUCCAAGUAAUUUGUAAGGUCCAACUAAUAAAUUUGUGACAAUGGAAUAAGUCAAUGUGCUACGUAUUAGGUGGACCAAAGGUAGAGGAAUAGCUUUACAGAUUCUUAGAUACUCUCUCGGAAGUUAAAUUAGAGCUUAACACAAAAUUUUCAUAUGAUAGAAAAACACCAUUAUCAUCCAUUAAGUCAGAAACAAAAACAAUUCCUUUGUCAAACCAAUCAGCAUUGAAUACUGAUUUUCUGCUUAUCAAAAUUGUUCUAUUAUUCCAUAGAACUGAAUUGUGUGGAGUUAAAUUGUGAGAAAAAAUCUUUUUCCAAAACAAUAAAAUUUGACCAUGAAAUUUAGACAAGGCAAUUGGAAUCUUAUUAAUCUCAAAGUCACAUUUUAACAAAAAAUCCAGCCCUCCAAUCUUACCAAACACCGCCCUGGGUACUGUAUAUGAAACCACAUACACUGUCAGAAAUAGGGGUACAGUAGGGGUCCAUUUCUGUCCCCCAAGGUACAAUCAACACAAAAGUACCCCAUAGGGCUCAUUGUUGGACCUCAAGGUACAUGUAUGUACCUUUUUGAGGGUCAAAAAGGUACAUAUUUGUUCCCAAGCAUUAAAAGGUACAUAUUUGUACCAUUUCUUUUAAAGGAUAAGGUACAAUGUUAAGAGACGUCAGCCUCUUGCCAUUUUUUUUUAUUUGUUGUUCUAGACAACUGCUGUAAAUCUGGUCAGUAACGUAAAUAACUAUUGUGUCAAUUUUUGUUUCCUUUAGUUGGACACAUGGGUAUUGAAGUAGUAUUAGUUUUCUUCUGUUCAUUGACAGUGUGUUUAAUUUUAAAUUUUAAAUUUUAAUGAAAAAAAGCUAAUUUCACUUAAUAAAAACUGUGAUAUGAACUCAAAAACUGCAAUUGAUUUACCAUUAUUUAAACUGAAUAAAUACUGAAUAACUGAAUCCCUCACACACACCGAAAAAAACCCGCGCUUUUAUUUUGACACGCGCCCAUCCCCCCACAUCUCACGGUCGGAGUCAGUUUCACAGAGCAGCGCAGGAGGACGACAGACACAUAAAGAACAGGUAAGCUCUGGAAACUCAUUCAUCAUCUUUAAAACAUUUUUAAACUUUAAAAAUGUGUUGUUUGUCGUGGCUCUUCAUUUUAAUACUGAUUCGGUUACGGUUAUUUGUGUAAAGUUGUAUACGAUGAGUCAACGCGAUAUUGACACAGCACUAUUGCCUAUGACUCAUUUUUAUGAGCAGGUUAAUGUGCAUUAAGUACACCACAGUUCUGUAAGUGGAAAAAGUAUUCAUAUUCAUGUGUUUUCUCACAGUUUAGGGCAAACGUUUCCCGCGCAAGUUUGAAUCUCUCUCAGUCAGUCAGGGGGAGAUUAACUGACUGACUGUCUACACGCCACCAAACAGUCAGUUAUACAGAAACCUUUUUAAGUUUAGCACAAAUGUUUCCCGUGGAAGUUUGAAUCUCUCUCAGUCAGGGGGGAGAUUGACUGACAGACGGUCUACUUGCCACCAAACAUUAAUUUACCCUGAAACCUUUUACAGUUUAGCACAAAUGUUUCCUGUGGAAGUUUGAAUCUCUCUCAGUCAGGGGGGAGAUUGACUGACAGACGGUCUACUUGCCACCAAACAUUAAUUUACCCUGAAACCUUUUUAAGUAAGGACUAACGUUAACUGACUGUCUGUCUGCUCUCAACCAAACAGUCAUUCAAGACCUUUUAAAGGUAACGUUACCACAUUUAUUCAUUCAUUUAUUAUGUUUUGUGAGUACACCACAGUUCUGUAACAUUAAGUGGAAAAUUAAUAAUACAUUAUGUGUUUUCUCUCUCAGUAAGGACUAACGUAAACUGACUCUCUGUCUGCUUUCAACCAAACAGUCAUUCAAGACCUUUUAAAGCUAACAUUACCACAUUUAUUAAUGUAUUUAUUAUGUUAAGUGAGUACAACUCAGUUCUGUAAGUGGAAAAUUAAUUUAUAUUUAUGUGUGUUUUCUCACAGUUUAGCGCAAACGUUUCCUGCGCAAGUUUGAAUCUCUCAGUCAGGGGGGAGAUUGACUGACUGACUGACUGUCUACUCGCCACCAAACAGUCAGUUACACAGAGUAAGGACUAACGUUAACUGACUGUCUGUCUGUCUGUCUGUCUGCUCUCAACCAAACAGUCAUUCAAGACCUUUUAAAGUUUAGUGCAAACGUUUCCAGCGCAAGUUUGAAUCUCUCUCAGUCAGGAGGGAGAUUGACUGACAGACUGUCUACCUGCCACCAAACAGUAAUCUACACAGAAACCUUUUAAAGUUUAGCACAAACGUUUCCCGCGCAAGUUUGGAUCUUUACCAUUGAGGGUGGCUGACUGUUUUCGACCAACCAUCAUUCACACGCAAAAACUUUAAAGAUAAGUAUGAACGUGCCCAGAGCAGUUUUCGAUCUUUACCAUUAAGGAGGCUGACUGACUAUCCUCUACCACCCGUCAUUAACACAAGAAAAACUAAAGAAAUGUUACUCCAUAUGGACCUAUUCAUUUACUCAUUAUGCUGUGAGUACACCACAGUUUUAUCAGGGAAAAAUUUAUAUUUGUGUUUCUCACUGCUUGACAAGGACAGAUGUGGCCCUGUUAAAAAUGUUUAAAUGUCGUUUGGUUUAAGGAACAGCACACUGAUUUUGUUUUAAAAUAUUCCUGUUUGGACAGUCUGUUAAAGUCAUAAAGGAAUACUUGAUAUAUUUCAUAAGUAAAGUGUAAAUGUAAUAUUAGUUUUUAAUGUUGUGAAUUUGGACUGAACAGCACACUUCUGUUUUAUAUCUAAACCUUUUGUAAAAUAAAUGAUUGUUCAAUAAACUGUGUAUUUUAUCUU